ensembl:lncRNA
CCCCUCGAUUUGGAGGAACGUCACAUACUAGACUCCAUUGCUUGGCCUGAAAAACCACUUUUGCCAUCUUAUUUUCUUGGAGCAGACCACUGAUCCAGCUCACAGCACCUUCACCAUUCUCCCAGGGAGGAAAGUCCUGCAAUGGAGUUGCUGAUCGGAGUCCUGCUUGGGGCUCCAGUCGGAGACUCCAUAGUCCUACUGGAAGACCUCAAUGCACACGUGGACGACGAUGAAGAUAACUGGAGAGGAGAGCGGGUGUAUGCUCAUCUGGUCUAAAUGUAUUUUGUGGACCUGAAGAAGGCGCAUGACCGGGCCUCCCGCAAUACUGAGGGAGUAUGGGGUGAGGGGGUUCCUUCUUAGCGCCAUCCAAUCUGUGUUUGUGUUCUCUGCAGUAAGUCGUAGUUGUUUCCGGUGGGGGAUGGCCUUCGCCAGGGCGGCGCCUCGUCACCAAUUCUGUUUGUGGCAUUCAUUAUCAGGAUAUUGAGACUUAUUGCGGGCGAGGAGCAUUUACAGUUCAGGGGGGUGCGGAUCUCAUCGUUGCUUUUUGCAGAUGAUGUGGUUCUGAUGGCAUCUUUGGUCUGUGACCUUCAGAUCUGAAGCGGUUCGCAGCAGAGUGUGAAAUGGUCGGGAUCAGGAUCAUCACCUUUAAAUCUGAGGCCAUGGUUCUCUGCAGGAAACCGUAAUGGAUUGCCUACUGUGGCCAACCAAACAGCUGAAGUGUAACUACACUGACCUCCGUACAGGCGAGCCUUGGUUCUGUUACAAGCCAACAAACCUGAGCUGUGAUACCAGGAUCAACCACUUUAGGGUAGCAUUCAAACAAAACCUCAUAAUCGAAGGAGGAGAAGCUCUUUCAGAGGUGAGUGAACAGAGACACAUGAGAGGCUUAGAGCUUUGUGACCUGAGGGAGUUACAUUGACCCUAUAGUUGUUUAAGAUUUAAACAUAAUACAAAUACUACUUCGGUCUUCCUUUCAACAUUUUGAAGUUUUUCUAUCAUGCUCUUGGUCGCGUUUGUUCACGUGUAAGUUUUAUCUUGAGUAAGUGUACACCUUUGUAUCUUUCCACAGCAAAUCUCGCAUUCUGAUGCAGCAAACUGCAUAAUAAAUUUGGUGCUCAUUCAUGACUGCAUACUCAAGGACCUUAAAUUGUCCCUGUAGCUCCUAUUGAAAGUACUUUUUGAAUCCGACUUUAAACUGCUAGCACUCGCUUCUCUUGGCCACUCCUUAGCAGCUAUUUGUUGCUCUGAACAGUGUGUUUGUGAGGUCUCCAAAGUGAGAACCUGGUCAGGAGACAAGGGUACGAAAGAGGAAAGUAAAGAGGAUGAAGAUGAAUUGGAUGGAGU